rnacentral:misc_RNA from 2 species
AACGCACAUUGCGCCCCUUGGUAUUCCGAGGGGCAUGCCUGUUCGAGCGUCAUUUCAACCCCUCAAGCUUCGGCUUGGUGUUGGGCCGCGCCGCUGCACCAGCAGCUGGCGGGCCUCAAAAUCAGUGGCGGUGCCGUCUCGGCUCUAAGCGUAGUAACAUCUCUCGCUCUGGAGACCUGGCGGUGGCUUGCCAGACAACCCCCAACUUUCUUUAAGGUUUGACCUCGGAUCAGGUAGGGAUACCCGCUGAACUUAA